rnacentral:rRNA from 1 species
GACGCUGGCGGCAGGCCUAACACAUGCAAGUCGAGCGCGCCUUCGGGUGAGCGGCGGACGGGUUAGUAACGCGUGGGAACGUGCCCUUCUCUACGGAAUAGCCUCUGGAAACGGAGAGUAAUACCGUAUACGCCCUUUGGGGGAAAGAUUUAUCGGAGAAGGAUCGGCCCGCGUUAGAUUAGGUAGUUGGUGGGGUAACUGGCCUACCAAGCCUACGAUCUAUAGCUGGUUUUAGAGGAUGAUCAGCAACACUGGGACUGAGACACGGCCCAGACUCCUACGGGAGGCAGCAGUGGGGAAUCUUAGACAAUGGGGGCAACCCUGAUCUAGCCAUGCCGCGUGAGUGAUGAAGGCCUUAGGGUCGUAAAGCUCUUUCGCCUGUGAUGAUAAUGACAGUAGCAGGUAAAGAAACCCCGGCUACUCCGUGCCAGCAGCCGCGGUAAUACGGAGGGGGUUAGCCGUUGAACC